UGUUCCCAGUGACCAGUGGAGCAGUGGUACCCCCAGCAGAACUCUUCCAGACCAUAGAAGGGUCCUCCAAAUCUUCCAGAAAACCUUGGAUAUUGAUGUGGUGAAUUCACGGGAAUCUGGAGUGAUACAGGUUCUGCCAUCCUGAAGGAGACUCUGCUGAUCUCUGGGACUGUUCCUUCAGACACCAGGCCUAUGCAUUAGAAACCAGGUUAGCCCAGGAACCCCACUCACCUGGCUGGCAGUGAGCACCUGCCGGCCUGGGUGCCACCAGCCCAGUAAGCCAAUGCCCUCUGCUCCAGUGUCAGCUUUCUACUUUGUCUCACCAGUAUCCCUGACUUCUACUCUAGCUUCUCCCUCUUGGUCUGGCUUGGCUCACAGUCUUUUGUAUUUGGACUUUUCUUUGCCUGCCUUUCCCCGCUGAGUACCCUCUCCUUCUUACUGGACUUUCACAUUCUACCGUGUUUCAUGACUCUACCUGAAAGCAAAGUUCUCACACCUGUCUCGUUAGAUGGGUCCCUCAUACACGCCUCUCUGAAGUCAAGGAGAUUUUUACAGAUUGCUGUGCAGAGGAAAGUCAUUAUUGUACUUUUUAGAGGAUGUUCUCAUUCAACUAAGCUGUAGUAUGUAGGGUGAAUUCCUUUCUGUUCAACUCACUCAGUCAUUCCAUUAUUGGGGAUGGCAGAAGACUUUGUUCAAACUUCCAUUGGUAGACAGUUCUCUCCAAAGUGAGAACUGCCUUGCAGUUCCAAUGUGUGUAUAUAUUUCUAUUUCUGAUAUCUUUUUCUUCCCAUGCUCAGAAUUUUGCCUGCAUUAACUUCAACACUGAAUUCUACAAGGGGCUUAUAUUCUCAGAUAUCUCCAGCCACAACUUUCAAAGACUGUUGAUGAUAUCCUGUCCCUCCUCUUUCUUGACAAUUGGACU